rnacentral:rRNA from 1 species
GACGAACGCUGGCGGCGUGCUUAACACAUGCAAGUCGAACGGAAAGGCCCUGCUUUUGUGGGGUGCUCGAGUGGCGAACGGGUGAGUAACACGUGAGUAACCUGCCCUUGACUUUGGGAUAACUUCAGGAAACUGGGGCUAAUACCGGAUAGGAGCUCCUGCUGCAUGGUGGGGGUUGGAAAGUUUCGGCGGUUGGGGAUGGACUCGCGGCUUAUCAGCUUGUUGGUGGGGUAGUGGCUUACCAAGGCUUUGACGGGUAGCCGGCCUGAGAGGGUGACCGGCCACAUUGGGACUGAGAUACGGCCCAGACUCCUACGGGAGGCAGCAGUGGGGAAUAUUGCACAAUGGGGGGAAGCCUGAUGCAGAAACGCCGGGUGCGGGAUGACGGCCUUCGGGUUGGAAACCGCUUUCGCCUGUGACGAAGCGGGAGUGACGGUAAUUGGUGAAGAAGCACCGGCUAACUACGUG